rnacentral:lncRNA from 12 species
GUCAAAAUUAAGCUCUUGCUUUCAUCCUUUUUCUUCUUAGGACAAGCCAGGAGAUCAGGGUACCUCUGUAUUCCCUGAUGGACAGACAGGCAGCCUCAGGUCCCUACCAGCUCACCAUUCCUGGGGAGGAGUGCCAGGUCCAACACUGCCAGUUACCAGUUUGCACAGUGUCCUGCAAAAUGUGUGGCUGGCCCUGAUUCCAGGGACCAAAGAACGACCGUUCACCUUCCAUAUUUCACAGAUGCGUCCACGUAGACAUUCACACAUAUGUGCACAAGUGUGCAUGUGUGUCUAUGUAUUUGUGACAGACAAGCUUUUAUGAUCGGCAUUAAUGGUGGCAACUGUCACAGAGAUUAUGGCUGCUUUAUUUCAAGGGAGUCUAAGAGGCAGAACGUAGUGUAUUUUAUAAACAUGUAUUUUUAAAGUCAGCCAUUUGAGUUUGCAGGGAUGACAAAUGAUUCCUGGGAGGGCUUAAACAGGGAGAGGGAUGGAGUAGAGGAGGGAAGAAAGUGGAGAAAAUAGUAUCAUUUAUUUGAUGUAGAAAUUUGGAUGUUAGUUAUAGUCCACAUUUCUGUUAGCCAUUUUAUCCUAGCCUAAGUGGUGCCAAAAUUAUUUUAUUGAUCAGCUAUCCUGGGAUUGAAAAAGCCACAUUCUGACCGGAGCCAUGUGACUUUUACUUCCCAUUACAAAUCAGUAUGGGCCUCCAGAGUGUAGUUGGUUUAACUACAUUUGUGAUUAUUUUGUUGAAGAUAAAAUCCCCUAUCUGUCACUUCCCAGAACGUCAAGCCCUUAUGUGAGGUUUACAAAGUCAUAGGGAGGAGAUAAUCCCUGCCAUCUUUCUUCUUGUGUGUUCUAUAUGUUUGAUAAAAGGGAGCUAAUGUAUAUGACUAUGGUACAAAAUGUACCCAAAGCAAAUUGUUCCUGUUGAAUAGCAGUAGUACCAUUUGCUAGAAAGGAAGCUCUCAGGCAGUUUUCUGACUGAAAAACAUUUUGUAGAUGGAAUAUAUAUAAAGACAUCAACAUGCUUGCUCUGUUCUCAUUGCUCUAUUAGAGCUGCAGCUACUGAAGCCAUUAUGAUAAUGUCCGGAGGUUUUAGGAAAUUUGUUGGUGCAGAGUUGGAGGAAAGAUCCACUUACGGGACCUGACUCUCAGCUUGUAUAGCUGUCUUCUAUAGUAAACUCUUGGCAUUUCAAACUUCUUUUUUCCCCCUUUACUCCCAAGUUGUUAGACUAUUUCUUUUGCUCAUUUAUUCCUUCAUCAACAAACACUUAUUUAAUUUUUAAUAUAUACCAGGGAUUCUACUAGAAUUUGAGUAUAAAGUGGUGAAUGAGAUAGAAAUAGUUUCUGUGUCCAGAAAACUCUAAUGGAGAGAUGAAAUAUGAGACAAGGGAGUGAAUUGCUCAAGAAGCAAAUGGCAGAGCCA